UCCAGAUUGCAGGCAAUUUCUGGCGCUUAGAUUUGUCUGGAUCAAAGACAAACUAGUUCUCAACUCAGCUGGGAUCUUUUGCUACCACAUGUCAGCUGUGCAAAGCAAUUCAGGAUAUGUUAGCAUUACUUCUCAAUCAGCUCUCCAUCAUGAAUAUCGCUGAAGAUGGCUGACAGUGCCUGAAGCUACUGCAAAAGUGUCCUGUACUCCUUCAACACCUGCUUCUAGGCAAACUUCAGACAGGACUGAGGUGAUGGCAUGCAGUAAGUACUUGAUAAAUAGUUGGUGAAUAAAUGACUGAAUGAACUGCGCUGGGUGAGGAGAACGAGGAAAGCAAGACUCGCAGGGUUCCUGGCUUCAUGGAGCUUACAUUCUAGGGGAGAUGCCGGUGUGCCCAGCUCUCAAGGCAACGAAGCCUGGCAAGUGCCACAAUCCCAGUAAGAAGAGAGUUCUCCAGGAAAUGAGGUGUGAUACGGGCCAGCUUUGCCAAUAUUCUCGGACCAAAAAAUAAGAAUUUAAAUAUGAAAUACUGAAAUUUAACACAUGACUGAAACAAAAUAA